ensembl:lncRNA novel transcript
AAGCUGGUAGGAACUUUCCUUCAUCCUUUCCUCUUUUCCGAAUAUUUUGAAGGUGCAGUUAAUUUGUGAAGUCUUGUUACACUCAUUGUAUGGGCCUAUUAAGGUUUUGUUAUGAAAACAAUAGGAACUUAAAUACCCAUGUGAAAUGCGCCUUGCAUUGACCAACACGAAAGGAGGACGUUUGGUAUUUUAAAAUAGUUUAUUUUAUGGUAUCUUUUGAGGGGAUAGGAUUUACUUUUAGAAACAAUCUACACAUGGAAUCCAGUCUCUUAAAAUCCUGGGGUGAAGCAAUUGUUAAUUUUUCCAUUUCUCUUUGUAUUUUAAAGGUUUGAUAAAUGAUUUAGAUCUUUUUCUUCCUAAUACACGAAGAAUGAUAGUUGGAAAUUCUGAUUUAGUUUAGUACUUAGUCAGAAUGGAGGCCCCAUAAGAUUUUUAAAAUACUUUGGCUGUUUUCCCCACACAGUCUUCAUUGCAUUUUAUCCAAAACAAAAAGGUCUUGAUCAAAUUACAUGAAAAACGACUAGACAUCAUUUUAGAUCUGUGCUGCAUCUAACAGUAUACUAAUUAAAACCUUUCAAAAACCG